AAUUAGUAAAAACUGAAAACAAAUGAUUCCUAAAAAGAAAAAAUUAACAGCAAUGAUAAGCAUGCUGUCUAGUUCUAGGAUUGACAGGCACACCAAAAAAAAAAGAAAAUGAAGACCAAACUUUGGCAACAUUUCAUCUGUGCAGUAGAACAUUUUAUUACCUGAGUUUUAUGGUCCUUUUUACAAUAAUGAGAACCAAUAGCACAGUGUCCAGACUAGCAGACAUUAGCAGAACACUUAUUUGAGUCAUGGUUAUUUGUAUAAUUCCAUUGAUUUAAUUGUAGAUUUUUUUAUUAACAAAAAAUAAAAAGUGGUACACUGAAUUCUCAAAAAGCCAGAGUCCACAAGCCAAGGCAAAUCACACAUUAAGACAUGAUACAUGAUGACAGGAGACAGCCCUAGAACCAUAAAAUGCUGAAGGAAAUAACAUACAGAGUUUUCUCCCUGCCCUUUUGCAUUCACUGAAAGGCCAUUCAAAGAAAUUUUACAUGAAAGAUCAAAAUAGGAUGAGAUACCUCAUGAUUCCUUUUCCUCACAGAACACAAAGGGCAACAUUUAUAGCUAUAUCUCAAAAGUCUUCCUUUUUGAGAAGUGGUACAUUUUGGAAGCUAGGAUUAUGUCUUAGGAACUUUUUACCCGGAAUCAGCUUCAAGAAAUCAAAGAGAAAGAGAAAUUCGUGCCUUUGAGUCAGUCAUUUGGUCAGGAUCAAUUUUCUGGGUUUUUCUAAGUGCUGUGAAGUCUUCAAACACUUUUGAAUGCUGCAUCUAUAGCAUGUGAGGGACUGGAACUGUCAAACCUAUUCAAUCACACAGCUGUUGAAGGGACCUUGGGCCCUGUUGUUCUUAGCUCUUGGAUAUUUAUUUGCAUUUGAAAGGACAAACUUACUCUGUAUGUGCAAGAUUCUGUGUGCUAUAAUUUAUAUAUGUACAUCAUAACACUUACAUUUUUAAACCAGAUACCAGUAUAGAGCAAGUACAUGACCUUAAGUACCGGUAAUUUCAUCAUCUUCCUGCUGGUUUCCACCACUUCUUUUUUUUUCAGACAGAUGAAUGUAACUGUAUAUAGUUAUGUUCUCAUUUCCAAAGGUCUCUAACUCCUGUUUCUAUUUAUGGACUAAGAGGAUUUAAUGGACUAUAAGACCUUUCCGUGUGAGGAACCAAGCUGUGCUCCUGUAGAAUGUCAACUCCUUCAAUGAGCAGAGAAGCAAACGGAAGGCUGAUUAACUGGAAAUUGCCUCUUUUCAGGUAGUGGUAAUACAUUUUGAAACUUCUUACCUGACUGGUCUAUUUUGGCUGAUGCUUAUGUCCUCCAGUUGGAAUGUCACUGUAUCUAUACCCACAGAUUGUGGUAUGUGUCUCCAGCUACUUUGUUUUCUGCUGCUUUAAUCCACUGGGCAUAUAAAAAUAUACUCUACAACUAGUCCCCAGAAAAUGUCAACUGACUGUAGCCAACUGAGUUGCAAUGAGUUAAAUCUUCACCUUUGUUGAUCCUUCACCUUUGACUAUGCGCUUGCAGAGACUCAGAAAAGCCUCAGAGCCACAAAUCUGGAAGCUGAGCAAAGUACACAAAUUUUAUUCUAACGACUGUGAAAUGGAAGACCAGUCAGCAAUGUCACUGUAAGAAAGAAAAACAAAGGAUUUCCCUGGAAUAGUUGGAAGAAAGGAAGCAGUAAACUGA